GGGCCUUCUAUGCUUAGGGGUCAUAUACUAUGUGAUCAAGAUAGGCCUUGGGCAGCUCGUAAAACAUUCCUGUAGCAAACCAUCAUCCCAUGACAAGGAGAAUGGGAGGCCCGAUGCAUAAAGUAGGGUGGCCUAUAUCACAUGAUUUUCUUAACAACAGACCAACAUAAAUAAGCCCACUCAGACGAAAGGAGGGUCAACGUUUAACAUAUUUAUGUGUACACAAGUACACAUAAAUAAGCCCACUCAGACGAAAGGAGGGUCAACGUUUAACAUAGAGACUGAAGGCUCCUCGCCUAGGGACAAUGACUGUCAUUUUCCAGGCGAGGAGGGUUGUCACUGGGCAAAUCUAGGUAGAUACCCAUAUACUAAAUAUCGAUGCGACCCAGGAGACAGAAUAGUAAUAGAUGGUAAAAACAAGGGAGCCAGGGUGUUGCCCUCACCCUGGUCCCCCAUUUAUAGCCAAAGGAACCCCCCAGCUGACCAAGGACUAGCACCCAGAGAAGUAAUGAUCUAUCAAUGUCCUGCGAAUAUCCCCAGGGGCCACGAACUAGAUGGGUGGGUCUUAAACCGGGUGUCCCAAGCUCCCCACACAAGAAGGGAGCCUUAUGACCUAACGAGGGGACGGGGUAACCACCAGACGAGACCUAGACAAGCUAGGGGGAUGAGCAGCCAAAGAUCUCUCUCUCCCGCACCUAACACUCAUGCCCAAGGAGGUCCCAACUUCAGGACUCGUGCGGUACCAAGAGACACAACUCCCACGCAGCCUCCACCCCUGACGGGGGUUGGGGCCCCCGGACGGGGCCACACUAGGCCCCUCUCUGCUCAACGACCAGAACACUCCCAACAGACUCGGAGGGAAGGCGCCCACCUUCCCUCCGAGGUAUUCUUCCGGGGUCCAGGAGCAGGCAAGAACCAGCUGUUCCAGAUCCAGGAGAGAAAGUGGUUUAGGACGAACAACCACAAGUUGAAGAACCCAGAAUGGACCUUUAACCACGUCUGCGGUCUCCGGCUGGGACCCCGAGGGUGGCCCCAGCUAAAGGAGGACUACCAACACAUCUGGCCCCUUAUCUCCAUCAGAGAAGCGGACCACCUGAUGCCGUACUCCACCCUUGUCGCCUCCACCCCGGAGGACACCAGGGGGAAUCCAGCCCUGGGCAUCAUACGCCUGUCCCGGAAGCUGUUUUAUCAUCUCCCCACAAGGAAGAGGUUCUGUAUCCUGGAAAGCAGCGAUGGACAACACAUCAUCUACUUUGAACAACCCCAAGCCCCUUACAUAUGGGGUUGGGCUCCGACUUCGGAUGUAUUUGGACCCCGCUGGCCUUGGCACACAAACACUCACGCACACACAACUACACAUACACACACCCACACACGAGUACACAUAUGCACAUACACUGGUACGGCAUAGGUGCAUGGGAGGAUGACGUGUGUCCCGAUAGGACUCACUACAUUGAUGCACCUAGCCGUUCCGGAAUCACUCCAGAAUCAUGCUGUGACACCAUGCUGUCAACAAGUUCACCGUACAUAUACAUGUGUGCCUUAUAUAUCUCAUGAUAAAGUGAAUUGCUUACUUUAUAUCUUCUUGUGUGCCUUAUAUAUCUUAUGAUAAAGUGAAUUGCUUACUUUAUAUCUUCUUGUGUGCCUUAUAUAUCUUAUGAUAAAGUGAAUUGCUUACUUUAUAUAUUCUUAUGUAGUAAAUUGUGUGCCUUAAAAUGUCUUAUCAUAGAGCCAACUGUUUACUUUAUAUACCCUUUUUAUGUAGUAAAUUGAAUGCUUAAACAUAUCUCCUCGUGGAGAAACAGUAGAGGAAUACAAAGAACGUGUGUCCCUUUUCAACACUCGACAUGUGAUAAUUUGUGAUAACAUUUGCAUGAUUUCAAGCUUCUUGUGUUGCCCCUCGGGCAAAAUAAGGGAAAGUACAUGGAAACGUAUAACAAAAGUGCUUUUGUUACCAAAAAGAGUUAAGCAGAGAGAUCUGCAAGGAGAGCCUGAGUGCUUGGGUGUUCUUCUUAUGUCUUAUGGUACCAACUGGUGUGGUGUUGUGCGCUGCCUACUCUCCAUCGGGAAAGGCUCAAUUAGGAUCCCCGCCUUAGAUUUAGUAUAGUUUGGUUAAAAUCUACUCUUUAUUUAAUCUUGUCCAUCUUGCAUCUAUCCUGUUCUUUUAUUGUCUGUUCUUUUCAAAUCUAUACUCAGUUGUAAAAGUUAUUGUGUUUAUUGGACCUAAAAAUAAAUCUACCUGACUACAUUUGUAGUAGGUUAUCUCAAUCGUUCGAGUCCUUUUCCCUGUCGACUCCUCGACAAAGGCAAAGCAGAACGACGCUCUCCCAGCUGAUCCCCUCAGCUGAUCCCCUCACGGUCCCGAAGCAGCAGGGGGCGACCGGGUGCCUAUUUGGGAUCCGGCGCUCCUCCAGGAUCGGCCGGAUGAUCCACAGCUACCUGCGUCUGAUCCCCGGCGUGGCCAACGACCCUGAGGGCAUGGCCGAGACCACAGAGCUCUACGACAACUGGCUGAAGCUGGAGCUGAUCGACCACUACGAGAGGAUGACCAACAAGAAGAGGAUGGGCUCCGAGGCCAUGAGGCAGUGGCUUGCUGGCGCCGCCGUCCACAUGCACAUGAGGAUCCACCAGGUGAGACUGAAAUCGGUGCCUCUUGGCUCGGCCGAGUCCCUGCGCCUCUCUUACAGGACGGCUUUCGCCCAGCUGGUGCAGGACUACGCAUCCUACCUCCGCCGAAACAUCCGGGAAACCCCGCCUUCAGGCACAUACAAACCCAACGCGGCCCAGCCAGGCGAGCGAACACCGGCGGCUACGACGUUCCAGCGCCUCACCGACCACGGGACCCGGAAGGAACCGAGUGAGACAGAGGGAGCAGGGGUAGCCGUCUGCGUGGGGGCGACGAUGGGUAACGUCAGCCUGGCCUGCCCAAUGAAUGACCUCAACGGGACCGGCCCCGACGGGCAUAACUCAACCACCGCAGCGAACCAAGCGGCAGCUUUUAGCGGAGGAUCCAAUGAGGUUACGGGGCAAACAGGUCCAAAACAGAUGGAUAAUAAUAAUGACGUGGGCCCUGAAAGAGGUGCAGCCAGUGUGUUGAGUGGUGUUGGCGGGGCUGCGCAGCCAACAGCCAGUGACGGUCUGUUAGUCAUUGAAGCCAUGAGGAACGUGAGUCAUGGUGUACGGCAUCGGGCCUGUGAGUCUCCAGUCAUAGAGCAAGCCCUGGCCACCCUCAUUUCAGAGGCGCAGGACCUGGAAGAGAGCAGGGACUUUUUCCUGUACCCCCGGCCACUGCUUGACAAUCUGCUCGGCCAGAGAGCUGACUUUGACUUGAAGAUAAGAUGGCGGAAAACUAUUUGAACUAUUCGCAAAGCUGUUAGGGAGAUUGAAAAGCAUGAGGGUAUUGGGACAGCCUCGGGGGGGGGUUAACCGCUGUAUUGGGAAUCUAAGUUGAGUGAUUGAGUGUGUUAAGACAAAAUGUGUGAAGGUUAACGUUAAGGUGAGUGAAGGAUAAAACAAAAUGCCACACAUUUUGUCUUAACCUUAAAGAAAUGAUCAACCAAACCAAUUCAAUAUAAAAUAAAGAUGAAGAUGAUGAUCUGAUUGUGUGCGUAUUUGUGUGUGUAUGUGUUUGUGCGUGUUUGUGUGUGUGUGUGUGUGUGUGUGUGUGUGUGUCCCUACAAUAGCAAACCCAUUUACAAAUGGCAAAGACAUUCCUACUGAAGUUAAGGUUUCAAGCACAGUUCAAGCCUUCAUUUUUGCAGGCUUAGACAAAAUACCAUGUUGCCCUUGUACUUAACCAGCAGUUUAGGCUAUCUAACCAUGGGUUGGAUAGCCAUGUGUGAUUGUUAUAAUCCAG
ensembl:lncRNA